GCCCCCAUCCCUCCCCCAGAAGGUCCUCCCAAAUUUCCUCAGCCAGGCGCUCUGCAGCGGAUUCGCAGACUGGCAGGCUCAGGCUCGUGGGCAUUUUAUGUGCAGAGGAGGGGAUUCUCCCCCCACAGCUGUGGAAGAGGUCACAUUAAAAUCCCUGUUUCCAGCCUCUCUUGGGAACCCUGGUGACCUCCUGCUCUCUCAUGCACGGAUUCCAGAGUCAGACAGCCCUGGAUUUGAACCCAGCCCCUCCACUCACCAGCUGGGCAGCUUUGGGCACGUCACUCGCCUCUGCCCGCCUUACCUUCCCCAUCUGUAGAAUGGGGACGAAGAUUCCAGGCACGCUGGGACCGUGUGAGGAUUUAUCCCAUCCGCCAUCAGACAGCUCUUGAUUCCGUGAGGACUCAGUGUAACGAUGUUUGCUAAGCACCUACCACGUAGUAUCUGCCCCGUUGCCACGGGGGCCGUGCCGGGAGUGGCUGGACGGCCCUCCACCCCCGCCCCCAUCGCUGAUCUCUGCCUCUAAUACACUUUCUAGCCCGUA